GUUUUUUUUUUUGAAAAUUUGUACGUGUUGUAAACGAAAUAUUUCUGAAAUAUUCUGCUUUAAAUACUAAGAAUAAUAGUAUUUUAUGAAGAUUAGAUACCAAUAGCUUCAUGUGUAUUAACAAUUUCUUAUUUUUAAUCAUACAGUUAUUCUUCUUUAGUAUUUUAAGUAGAAUAACUCAGACAUUUUUCAUUCAAAUUUCGAUUAAAAUAUGUCAACAUUUUCAGACAAAUCAUGUGAUUGAUAAUUUGUAUUGAGACACAUAGGUUCUCAUUAGAAAAACCAAAUUUAGAAUUGUCACAUAAAUGACAAUAUGACACAUAAGCAAUUUCUAAAUAUUUGAAAUAUCAGAAUUUUAAUUAGUUAUAAUUAGUCAUAAUUUAGCGAUUAAAAAAAAGUGAGCACUGAGCUUACUUAAAAAAUCAUUGUUUACCUAUAUUAUU